rnacentral:ribozyme from 1 species
GCUCAUUCAUUGUUUCUUCCUUUUUUUUUUCGUUCUUCGAAAACGUAAAUGGUGUUUUUUUGCGAAUUUCACACGAGGGAGUGGUUUGCGUGCUAAAAUGAAAAAAUGGGGAGAAGAAAUUGAAAAGUCAAA